AACAACAACAACAAUAAUAACAGCAGCAUCAAUAAAAACAACAACAACAAAAACAACAACAACAACAACAACAACACCAGAAACUUCAACUUCAAUAACAACAGAAUCGCCUGAUAAAUCUUUACAAGGAUGGGCCCUAGCAGCUAUAUCUCUUGGUGUCUCAGUUAUAGUACUUAUUUUCAUCCUUUUACUCUUCUUAAAGUACAGGCGAAGUAAAAUUCCUCUUGCUAAACCAGUGUCAGGACUUUUUAGAAAAUCUACAGUAGAGAGAAGUCCUGGUCCUAUUCGUGUUUCAGCUUUUCAUAGAAG